rnacentral:rRNA from 1 species
UACGUAGGGUGCAAGCGUUAAUCGGAAUUACUGGGCGUAAAGCGUGCGCAGGCGGUGAUGUAAGACAGGUGGGAAAUCCCCGGGCUUAACCUGGGAACUGCAUUUGUGACUGCAUCGCUGGAGUGCGGCAGAGGGGGAUGGAAUUCCGCGUGUAGCAGUGAAAUGCGUAGAUAUCGGAAGGAACAUCAGUGGCGAAAGCGACUUCCUGGACCAAUACUGACGCUCAUGUGCGAAAGCGUGGGGAGCAAACAGG